rnacentral:rRNA from 1 species
UCGAGAAUUUUUCACAAUGGGGGAAACCCUGAUGGAGCGACGCCGCGUGGGGGAUGAAUGGCUUCGGCCCGUAAACCCCUGUCAUUUGCGAACAAGGUGCGUGUAUGAACAAUGCGCGUAUUGAUUGUAGCGGAAGAGGAAGGGACGGCUAACUCUGUGCCAGCAGCCGCGGUAAUACAGAGGUCCCAAGCGUUGUUCGGAUUCACUGGGCGUAAAGGGUGCGUAGGUGGUGGGGUAAGUCUGAUGUGAAAUCUCUGGGCUCAACCCAGAAAUGGCAUUGGAUACUAUCCUGCUAGAGGAUUGGAGGGGGGACUGGAAUUCUCGGUGUAGCAGUGAAAUGCGUAGAUAUCGAGAGGAACACCAGUGGCGAAGGCGAGUCCCUGGACAAAACCUGACACUGAGGCACGAAAGCUAGGGGAGCAAACAGG